AGAAAAAGAAUAAACUUGUGACACCUGUUAAACUGUCAGGCCAAAAGAAAAAACGGAAAAAACAUCAUGGAAAAAUUACUCAGUAUUAUGUAGCAAAAUUAAUAUGGAACAAAACUGAAAAAAAUGGCGCCCAGGCAUCCACCGUGUACGCCGUCCUCGGGCUCCUGUCCCCCCGGAUCUUGCAACCCCAAGCCGCAGCCGUGCGAAAAUCCAGAAAAAUGUCUAGAAACUUCGAGAUCUAAGAGUGUGCGACCGGGAUGUAGAAGCGCCGUCUCUAUCGUGUCAUCCGGAAGCAAGAAAGGCAAGAAGGGCAAGAAAGACAAGAGUGACAAACAGAAAGAAAAGAAAAAAUCUAGCUGCUGCUCGAAGAAAAAGAAAGAAACAGAGAGAAAAAGAUCGGUACACGACAGCUGUGCUCCGUCCGCUAGUGGUGCUAGAAAAGCAUCGAGAACGAGCGUGGGACAGAAGAAAAAGGAGAGGAAAUGCUGUAAAUGCUGCGAAAUUCUUUAAGUUAAAAAAACAUUGCUCCAAAGUCUUGUCCGAAAUCCUGUGCGUCGGAGUUAACAAGCAGCACACACAAUCAGAGACACAAGGGAGUGAAAAGCACAAGCUCAGCCCAACAGCCCCGCCGUAGCAGUUCUAAGCCAGAGCAUUCGCGACCUAAGCCAGAUAAAAGCCCUAAGAAACGCCAAAAGAAUUCCCCAAACUCCAUUAAAAAUCGGUCCAAGGGUAAAAAUAAAGACGAAAAUAAAAUGGAUGAAAGAGAGAAGAAAAAAAGGCGUUGCACGUUACUGUAAAUUAUUCGAAUUGUGACUACCUACCCAGCAAUUAUUUUAUAAUGCAUAAUUUUAAAAAAAAAUUACACA